rnacentral:rRNA from 1 species
UACGUAGGGUGCAAGCGUUAAUCGGAAUGACUGGGCGUAAAGGGUGCGCAGGCGGUCUGCUAAGACAGAGGUGAAAUCCCCGGGCUCAACCUGGGAACUGCAUUUGUGACUGCAUAGCUAGAGUACGGUAGAGGGGGAUGGAAUUCCGCGUGUAGCAGUGAAAUGCGUAGAUAUGCGGAGGGAACACCGAUGGCGAAGGCAAUCCCCUGGACCUGUACUGACGCUCAUGCACGAAAGCGUGGGGAGCAAACGAGG